CAAUGUCAAACAGUUUUCAUAUGACCUACACUUUAGACAAUACAUACUUUUGCCUAGGUUCUCUCUAGGUCAGAGGGGUGUCCUUGACCAUAUUUUGAAAACUCAGAUCAAUAGGAUGCUGAACAUGCUGGCUGUGUUGGCUCCUUUUGUUCUUUCAUCACCUGAUCCUCUCCUUAGGCCUGUUGGCAGAAGAAGAUAUUUUGAGUAGGAAAGUGGGUGUGGAAGCAGCCUGUGCCAGUUCUCAUGUGUGUCUUUUAAAUUGCACAGACUGAUCCUAAAGGUCAAAGGAAAGUGCGGGCCAGUGAGUGGCUUCCUGCUGCAACCAGCACCAGGCAGUGUCUGCGCUCAGACGCAGUGGAGCGUGGCAAAGGUAAUUUCAGAGGGACUAAAUGGUUACCUUUGAAAGCCUCUCUGGAGUGAGGCAGGUGGAGAAAAGCAGGGUGAAAUAAGCACUCACAGAAAUGACAUGCCUCUUACCUUUCUUAGGUAUCUUGCCAGGUGCAGAAUCAGUAGAAGGUGAAAAGGAAGACAGUGAUUCCUCCUGGGGUUCAAAGGUACUUUCUCUGAGGGAGGCAGUGGGGUCCCUCUGGCUCACCUGCAUCUGAACUCAUUUUGCUUUGAUGCUGCUUCUUCCACAGCCUCCUUACUUGCACCUUAACCAGUUGCUGCUUCAGAGAAUCUUUUCAGUUAGGACUGGGACAAGGUGAGGUCCAGCUAAUGUCCUGGGCCUCCUUACAGCUGAUGUCCAUGUAGGAUUUCUAGGGCAAAUAAGUAAAACUUCCUUCUGGUUACAGUCCUCUCAAGUCCUAGAAGGCUGGUAUUGUAAGAAUCUUUUUUUCCCACCUCACAGAUCUCUUCUGUGGAUCCAGUCAAUGUCAAAUGGUUGUGGAUGACCCACAAUUUAGAGAUCUAUUUCUUCUGCCUAGGUUGUCUCAAACUUGGGCAGGAGGACUUUGUCCUGUUUUAAAAAUCCUGCUGAACAACAAUGAUGGCUCAACACUGGCUUUGUUUGCCCUUUUUGUUCUUUUCAUCACCUUAUCCUUCUCCUUAGGUGUGUUGGCUGAAUCAGAAGCUUUGAGCAUGGAAAUGGGGGCAGAAGCCACCUGUGCCACUUCUUAUGUGUGUUUUUUAAAUCACACAGCCUUUUUCUGCAAUUGUAGAAAAAGUGUUUGCUGGUGGGCGGCGUCCUGCUGCAGACCACAGAGGAGGGGGCGUGCGCUCUGCUCCAGCGGAGAGCAGCAAAGGGGUCUUGCAAGCAGCAGGAAGAUCAAGAAAAAAUGAUAAUUCUUGGGACUCUGAGGUACCUUUUCUGAGGGAGACAGUGAGAUUCCUCUAAAUAACUGGCUUUGGGGCUCAUUUUCCUUUGAUGCUGCUUCUGCCACACACUCAUACCUUAGACUUUGAUGGCAUUCUCUGCUGCAGACACACUGUUCAGAUAGGACUAGGACGAAGUGAGGUCCAGCUAAUGUCCUGGGCAUUCUUGUGGCUGAUGUCCAAUGUAGAUUUCCAGUAAGGAUAAUGUAGUAAAACUCCGUGUUUGUUACAAUCCUGUGGAAUCUGUGCAAGGCUAGCAUUGUGAGGAUUCAUUUUUCCAUCAAACAUCUCUCUUCUGUACAUGCAGUU
ensembl:lncRNA